GGCAGAGCAAUUUUGACACUGGUCAAGACAGGACCUAUGUGCUGAGUGAGUGAGUGGGGAGUAGAGAUGUACAGCACCUAAAUACUUAUUUAUUUUGGUUUGGCAUCGACGGAAAACCGGGCAAGACAGGCCAGGAAGAGGACUCCUCUCAGCUCCACAGUAUGGCUCUGACAACACGGUCAGGCAGCUGGGUUCCGAUUCCGAUAGAGAUUCCGAUGAUUCGAAUUCUGAUUCUGGGACAAGUCCUCCAGGAUGGACUCUGUUCAACCACCAUGAUGCGAGUCUCCGUCUACUAGACGCGUAUAGCAUCGGUGCACUUCUGUUAAUCACUACAACUACGACAAGCUUUCGUCGAGGAUGGAACGCGACAUGCGUUCAUUGAAGGCCUGAUGUAAGAACAGUCCAUAUGAGUUGAGAACAUUCGCGGAUACUUAUUGUUUGUUAAUUGAUUUAGCUGCAGAAUUGCAGAGUUACAGAAUUGCUGCAAGCAAUUUCUUUGAGAUUUUAUAGUAAUCUGAAUUAUGAGCUCAAGUGUUAGUUUGGCCACUUAAAUUAUUGCAGUACACCAAUUUUGUUCUAUUUACAUGUGCCCAACGUUCUCGCUACCACGCGUCACGGUUGGCGGGCGCCGCCAACCCUGAAAAUUUUCAGGGCAAAUCCGCCAACCGUGAACUUCCCCGACAAUCGUGGCCGACAACGGUAAAGCAGGCCUAUAGAUCUACACAAAAGCUGAAUAAUAUAUUUAAAAAAUAAUCUGCUUUUCAGAUCCUAAAAUAAACUUGUCGAUUAUUUCGUCCACGAUUUCUUCCCGGGAUUUCUUUGACUCACUCACUACUACUAGUGCGCUAUAUAGUUAUUACGAUAUGACCUCAACUCGAGGCCCAAUCUCUUUUGUGGGAAGAUGUUUACCUCGCAUUUGCGUAUCGCAUUGCUCACAUUAUUUAAAAUGGUAGUAAAUACGCUCAAAAACAAGUGAGGGGAGAGGGGUAUCGUGGGUUACUGGCUUGGGUAAUGUAAUUUAGAUUAUUACGAAUUUCAGUUGAUAUCGUCACUUAUUAUGUCAAAAAUAAAGUGUGUCAAAAUUACUAUCAAAAUUCGAUCGAAAUAUAGUUUCAUCUCGUCCCAGGCCCCAGCCUUUAUAGCUACAUCUACAUGAAUUCAUUGAAUGCAUUUCUGAUGACACUGCCGUAGAGCGAAUUGAGAAAACUAUUCAAAGAUCACGUUAAUAAUGACAAAGCCAAUGGAAUGGAUGGAUAUAAUGUCCAACUCAUUUACUUACAUCAAAAUCAUUUAUUCACAUUUAAAUUCCGAUUUUACUCUAUUAUUUCCAAAGUCUUGAUCUCUACAUCGAUCUUUUUAAACUGUUGAUUAAUUUCGCGAAGUGUCUACCUAGUUCUGUGCCACUGCACUUGCGCUCGCAACGUUCACAUUCAUAAUACAAAUCGCACAUGGCAUCAAAAUCCUUGAUCCGGGGAUCCGAUAGUCUUCCAAAAUUAGAUGGGAUCCAAAACCAAUUAAAUUUGAUUUUUUUUCAUAUAUUCAUUGAAUCUGUUAUAAUUUUCAUAAUUAAUAAUCUGUAUUAAUAUUAUUCACAUUUUUUAUCAUUACGACUCAUUUUUGAAUGUGAGUUAUACGUACAGUAUAUUUUCAUUUGUAUUCUUUAUUACUCUUUGCCUGCCAAUUAAAUAAUGAGCGCACCUGUCACGGGCCUGAGAAAUGUUUUUAGUCAUCAAAGUGAAUACUUUAUGAAUUUGUUGUACAAUUGCUUAACUACGAUUUAAAAUAAAAUAUCAUUUGAAAUUAAUUUGUGUAAAGGAAAAAAAGAGAAUAAUGGGGGGUGGCCGUGGGCAAUGUAGAUGAAAAUGAUGGGAUGUUUGUGACUUUGUGGGGAGGGGAUUGUUCGUAGUGAAUGAAAUUGAUAUUCAUUUAUGGAUGUGUCUACUGUGAUUGUGGCUGCAUAAUCUUUAUGGCGAUUGGAAAAUCCACCUUGGGUCGGGAGGGGUACGUGAUUCAAUAGAUUUCGAUAGAAGUACACAUUCAACAAAGUGGAAUUGGCAAUUCAUUCACAGAUAUUCGUUUCAAGUACGAAUUAUUGAAGUUGAUAUGUGUGAACGUUUUAGAGGAUAUCGGAUAUGUUUAUCGUUUUUUCACGCCCACAAUGGGUGAUUUCAAGUACGGUGUUGAAAUCUGGUGUUGGUGUUGUGACAACACCAACACCAGCCACAACACCGUACUUGAAAUCAGGCUGGUGUUGGGAUUGACCUCGGAAAAUAUGACGUAUUUCCGGCAGUUCGUGUUGAAUGCUGGUGUUGAAUGUCGUCUGCUGAACCCAGUACUGCGGCUGGUGUUGACGAUCUACGUGCAAUUUCCCCAUUCACCAACACCAACCCCCAGGGAUUGGGAAAAUCAUGAUUUCAAGUUCGGUGUUGGUGUUGGCAAUCUGAAGCUUGUGAACAGGCGGCGAACACGAUGAAACAUCCCCGUAAAAUUAGCUUUUACAGUUAAGAUUAAUACAAAUCAUUUGAGCUGUAUAUAUUUUGAUGAAGAAUAAUGUUCACUCUUUCGAAUUCUUGAAUUGAUUAAAACAUUGGUAUUCUGUACGAUGAGAAUUUAAUGCAUUUCUCUCGGAUUUCAUUUCGUCGUCGAGACUUCUCGCGUGAAGUUGAGAUGAUUUAGCAGCGCAGCGCAGAGGCGUGACGUCAUGUGCUAUCGAUAACGCAAUCGGUAUCAUUCCUCUGAACCCAGCUCGGUGUUGGAGCUCGGUUCAGCGGCCUUUUUACGCUCUCAACACCAACACCGAACUUGAAAUCACCCAAUGAGUUGCUAGUAUAAUUUGAAUAUCGUUGGAUUAAUUUUUCAAGUUCAAUUAUGUCUUUAUGUUUUUAUAUCGGAAUUGUGCUUUUAAUAUAUGAGUUAUAUCUUGACAACGCCGUCAUCAUCGGUAGAAGUAUAGACACGUCUAUAAAAAUGUAUUCGCUUCGAAUAUUGACUUCUUCACCAAUCCCACACACACGAUCUCAACAUCCCCUUGUCAUUGUCCACGCCACGACCCCUCCCCUAUCGCUCUCUCCCUUCGACCAUCCUACAACCCCACCUCUCUUCCUCUCUUUCACACACGCUGUAUUUGUAGGCCCACAUAAUGUAUUAUGUAAAAAUAGAAAUCUUAUUUCCUGUCAAUUAACCUAUACUUUCAAAACAUUUUAAAUCGCAGUUAAGAACAACAAAUUCGUAAUAUUAGAGUAUUAUGAACGACUAAAAAUAUUUCUCACGCUCGUGAUGAGCACAGCACAUUCAUUAUUUUAUAGGUGAGUAACGAACGAUACAAAUGAACACAGCAAUAAUUGACAGUGAUAAAAGAAUCUCGAUUAGAAAUUAUUAGUAUCAACAUCAACAAGUCUUAUGAGAGUUAUAGUUUCAGUGAGUAUCGAAUAAACCAAACAAAAAACCAUGCAAAUUAUAUAAGUUGGGGACCCCGUCUCAUGAAUACCGAUGCCCAUUAUUUGGAAGCCUCGGAAGAAAACUUUAGAGGCUUCCAAAUAAUACCUCGGUCACAUUUGCUCUACGGCGAGUCGAAAACAGCCGUUUUAUUCAUUUUUAUUCAAACCACCUAUAUUCAGCUGGUACAAAAAAUGUUAAAACGGCUGUUUUCGACUCGCCGUACGGCCGCUGUAGAACAAAUGUGACCGAGGUAUAAAGUCGGAACAAUCUUUGGAUUUAGUAAGGGCAUGACGCAGCGCAAGCUCAAAGGGCUACGCAUGCGGUCGGUAGAUGCAGUCGGUCAUUGACAUAAGAAACAACACGCAUUCACAAAAUUAAUCACACUUUCUAAGGAUGUAGCGAUAUCGAUCUGAACAUUGGAAAGUAUGGAGUUAAUUUAUCGAUGUAAAUAAUCUAUAAACUGUAAGUAUAAAAUGAGAUUGACUUCAAUUUUUAAGUUAUCAGUAAUUGCCUUUCUGCUUCAAUCGCAAUUCGCGCAACUGUUACGGCUGUGUGGCCGGAGAAGCAUUAAAUAGACAUAAAAUGUGCUGCAUUUAGCAGCAAUCUAAGCUCGUUGAUAUUGAUAUUUUCGAUAGCUACCGUGCUUCGCGCCGGAGGGGGGACACCCCCUUCCCGAACCCUCCCCCCGUGCGUGCUUUGCACGCACCGAGGCCGCUGCGCGGCUUGCGUCGCUUCGCGCCGCUAAGCGUCAGAGUGAACCUGGCGAGAACGUUGCAUGUGCCAAAAAGGAAUAAUUGUUUUUCGUAGGAAAAACAGGUAAUUUAAUAUGUACAAAGUUUGCUAUUUGGAAGAAGGAUAAAUAGACAAAGUUUUUUCAUCUGAAUAUUUAGGUGAGAGUGGAGCAUUUGCAUUUGAGCAUGCAUGUAUAUCAUUUAUAUAAAUGGAGAUUAUAUUGUUUAAAUUGUCAUGUGAAAAUCAAUGAGAUAAUAUUCAUUCUGAAUUGAAGAUAUUUGAUUAAUAAAUCACAGUUUCAUGAUUUGAAUACAUA